rnacentral:rRNA from 1 species
CCUACGGGUGGCAGCAGUGAGGAAUAUUGGUCAAUGGCCGGAAGGCUGAACCAGCCAAGCCGCGUGAAGGACGAAGGUGCCAAGCAUUGUAAACUUCUUUUGUCAAGGGAUAAAAUCAGGCUCGAGAGCCUGACCGAGGGUACUUUAAGAAAAAGCAUCGGCUAACUCCGUGCCAGCAGCCGCGGUAAUACGGAGGAUGCGAGCGUUAUCCGGAUUUAUGUGGUUUAAAGGGUGCGGAGGUGGACUGUUAAGUCAGUGGUGAAGGCCCGGGGCUCAACCCCGGCGAGGCAGUUGAACCUGGCAGUCUGGAGUGCAGGAGAGGUAGGAGGAAUGCGCGGUGUAGCGGUGAAAUGCUUAGAUAUCGCGAAGAACACCGAUUGCGAAGGCGGCAUACCGGCGGCCAACUGACGCUGAGGCACGAAAGCGUGGGUAUCGAACAGGAUUAGAUACCCGAGUAGUC